rnacentral:lncRNA from 1 species
AUAAGGAGAUUCCUGCUCACAGGCGCUCAAGAAUGCAGCUGAGAGGAAAACCUCUUCAUUUUGAUUCAUAUGGAAACAUUUGCUACGCAGGGUAAAUGACUUUCUUUUAAAAGAAGGUAAUGAGAAUUUUGAGUGAGUGGUGCAUUUAACCAUAUUUUUCAGUGCAUGAGAACUUAAACAGUGCUCUUAAAAACUUACAGAAAAAUACUAAAAUCUUCAAACCUAGCAUGUACACACAAUGUUGUUAGUGCAGGGAUGAAUAUUGCAAAAAUAUGGCUUUGCUUGUACUUUAUGGGCUGUGUAAGGUUUGCAUGGUAUUGUGGUAAAAUGUACAACUACCAUCUCUUUUCUUGCAGAGGAUUACAAACUAAUUUUAAUCUGAGAAUAUUAUUUCUUACAGUGCUGGGGUUGGAAGAACAGGUUGUUUCAUUGCAGCUAGUAUAGGAAUUGAGCAAAUAAAGAGAGAAGGACUUGUGGACAUUCUCAAGAUAGUAAGCCUUAUGAGAAUAGACAGGGGCGGAAUGGUGGAAACAGAUUUACAGUAUGAACUUGUAUACCAUACACUUCAUCAUUAUUGGACAACAUAUACAGGCAGUGAUGAUGAUACACGUGACAUAGCCCUUGAAGCAAUCUUUGAUGAAUAAUCCGUGGUGAAUAUUAACAUACAACAGUUGCAUCAUAUAAUUCCUUCAUGCUGGUCAUGGGAAGAUGAUAUUAUAUUACAAGUCUAGUCUGUUAGUCAUUUAUCAAGUAUGGACUGUGGAUAAUUCAAUAGACAUCAAUAUUUAUCGCCUACAAGAUUAUUCAAGGUGCCCAUUGGCAAGAUGCUAUUUAUUUCAGUAUUUUAAUGUACAUGUGUGGAUUAUUAUUUAAUGCAUAAUGCAGUCAUGGGAACAUGCUUCAUGAAUCGUAAUUAUCAAUGACAUGGUUUAAACAAGGCAAGACUACCAAGAUUGUGUUUUGAGGAGUCUUUCUUAAUUGACAUCAAUCAGCAAGUCCAGAAUGAGUGGGACAUACCAGGCCAGUUGAGAGACGUGCAAGUAUUUGAUGUUUAGUUUAGUUUUGACACAUCCCUUGCAGGACAAGGGAUCAAGAAUGAGCUGUUGGUGACAAAGAAUGGAAAGAAAUUAUGUAUUCAAGAAACUAGACAAUUGAAAUCAUCAUUGGUGAUUGCAUGUCCGUGAUUCAUUUAUGGAUGACUUGGGGAUUUCUGGUUGUAAAGAGUACAAGACUGGUGGUGACAAUGUGAAGGAUGAGAAGGAGCGAUCAUUCAAACAUCACCUUACUACCUUAAACCAUUUACUUCCAUAAGCGAAGUUGGAUAAGAUUGUGCUAUUAAUAGUACCUUGUCGUUGGUGCUAAACAGUUCCAUAAAAGUGGAAUAUUUGUUGUUCAAAGGAAUGGGAAUGGAAAAGGAUGGCUGAAAUAGGAAGCUGGUUAGAGAUGAGAUCUUGGAAUAUUAUUAACGUUAUUUUCACCAUUCUUUGAAGGGAAACAAGGGAUUGCUAGUGCUUUGGAUAGUGUUUUGCAGUCUGAUUUGAGCAUUUAUUUUGCCACCAAAGCAAGUGAGGAUUUAAGGAAAUCUCAAUUUAUUUGCCAGGAAUCUUGGCAUAAAGAAAUGUUUUAUUUUUCAGUUUUACUGCAUGGGCCCUUAUUAAAAUUGGGACAAUUAUCAAAUUAUAAAAAAAAAUUAUCUUAUGUCUUUUUAGACAGGCAAUAUUGAGCAUGAAAAUGUCUUCAAUUUGAGAAAUUAUUUCAAAGUAUUUAUCAAAAAUAAUUGUACAGAAUUGUUAUUGAGGGAUUUUAUGAAAUUCUUCUAUAGAUAUUUAAUCCACAAGCAGAGAUAUGUUACAAGUUAUUACACAAGAUUGUGAAGGAAAGUUACUUAAGUUAUUUGGAAUAUUGUGUGUACAUAAUAAUCAGGUGUGCUGCAUCAAAGUGAAAACUUGGCCUGUUCCAACUAAUGUUUUGAGUCGGAUAUUAAUCUAAUGUAUAUUUUAAUCAUGCGCAUUGCAAGCCUAAGUUCUGCUCUGUUAUCUAACAACAAUGUGGUUGAAAAUUCCAUGUGGCUGCAAUCUACAACUCCUCAUCUUGGAUCUUUAUUUUCUUGUUGAAGGAGAAGGAAAGGAAUUGUCCUGGAACCAGGACAAUAAUUUUUAAGUGUAACAUCAUCAGCGUGAAGUUUCCCAGUUUGGCGCUUGAAAACAACUUGACAGGGGCGGAUCCAGGAUUGUGUUUUUUAGGAGGGUGCACCACUAGCGAAUAGCAUAACUGACUGGUGAGGGAAACAAAUUUUAAAAGCGAAUACAAGGAAGAAGGCUUCAUCUCAAGGGGAGGGGGUCGCACACCUUCUGCACCCUCCUCCUAGAUCCACCCCUCUUUGAGCAGGGAACAAGGUGAUGUGUUUUCUCAAGCUGACUCACCCAUAGUUUGUUACCCAACUUGUUUGUACAUGGGGUGUCUCCGACAGGUGUUGUAAUGUGUUAUUAUCAAAGGCACAAGUCCCAGGGGAAUACUUACCUGCAUUGCAGGGGAGGGGUAAGGCAAAAAGGGACUCCUCUCCUAGUCCCCCUUCUCCCACCCCUGCACUCCAUCCCUCCAUCCUCCAUCUCUAGUUUUCAGGCUAGGGGAAACCACCUGAUGGUUAAUUAAAUCAACAAUCCAUGAUUAGUUUUGUUGAUUUUCAAUGAAAGUUCCUAUACAUCUGACCAACAACACUCGAGUUUGUAGUUAAAUACUCUAACUGUAAAUAUUUUUCUAAGCAACUUGUAAGAUAUUGACGCAUUUCAACUGCUUUGUAUAUGGCGUUUAUUGAGGGAAAAGAUCUCUCUUCCGAAAACCAUGUUUUCACCUUGAUGCAGCAAUCAAGAAUUUUAAUCCAGGGCAGGUUCUGGAAAUGUUUCAAGUUACACGAAUUUCCUUGAAGCAGAUUAUUCUAGUGAGAGAUUCACGCUUUUGUUGAAAUAUUACCAGUUAUACUUACACAUUACCUUAGUUACCAUGUAACUAGGCAGCGACUGUCGAGGAAAACGGGUUCUACGCACAUGGUGCGAGCAGGAAUAAAAUCUCAGACAACUUGAUGUUAUAGUA